rnacentral:rRNA from 1 species
GGACUACCCGGGUUUCUAAUCCCGUUCGCUCCCCUAGCUUUCGCGCCUCAGCGUCAGAAGAGGUCCAGCACGUCGCUUUCGCCACCGGCGUUCCUUCCGAUAUCAACGCAUUUCACCGCUCCACCGGAAGUUCCACAUGCCCCUACCUCCCUCCAGACCGCCAGUAUCCAAGGCACUUUUCCGGUUGAGCCGAAAGAUUUCACCCCGGACUUGGCCGCCCGCCUACGCGCCCUUUAAGCCCAGUGAUUCCGAACAACGUUCGCACGGUUCGUCUUACCGCGGCGGCUGGCAC